AUACGGAGGAUGCGAGCGUUAUCCGGAUUUAUUGGGUUUAAAGGGAGCGUAGGCGGGAGCUUAAGUCAGCGGUUAAAUGGUGCGGCUCAACCGUGCCCUGCCGUUGAAACUGGGUUUCUUGAGAGUGCAAGAGGCGGAUGGAAUUCAUGGUGUAGCGGUGAAAUGCUUAGAUAUCAUGAAGAACUCCGAUUGCGAAGGCAGUCCGCUGGGGCACGUCUGACGCUGAUGCUCGAAGGUGCGGGAAUCGAACAGGAUUAGAUACCCUGGUAGUCCGCACGGUAAACGAUGAUUACCCGCUGUCGGCGGCAGACAGUCGGCGGCCAAGCGAAAGCGAUAAGCGCCCCACCUGGGGAGUACGGUCGCAAGGCUGAAACUCAAAUGAAUUGACGGGG
rnacentral:rRNA from 1 species